AGCUCAGAGUCUGGAGCCUGCUUUGGAUUCUGUCUCCCGCUCUCUGUCCCUCCCCUUCUCAUACUCGUCUCUCUCUCUCUCAAAAAUAAAUAAAUAUUAAAAACAAUAAGCCAACCCUGGUAAUUCUGAUGCCGGUGACUCUGCAGAUCACACUUGCAGAAAUUGGGCAUUGGGGUAAGAAUCAGCAAGUCGGACACAUAAUAGGUGCUCAGUCAACACUUGAUGAGUUGUAGGUCUGUGUGUAGGAAUGAAUAAAACAUACAAGAGCUCGUGGACGAAUGUGCAGAAGAACAGUUUGCGAAUGACAAUAUGCCGAGAGGGUGUCUGAGAAGGAGGGAACGCACGUGUGGCCGUGCGCGUGGAUGAGGUUGGGGUUCCAGGACAGUGGGGGAGGGGCAGGACCUCCCGAGUGGGUUAAGUGAAGGGCGGUGCUCUGGUGUGUCUGGCGAGGGCCCGAAUGUUCCAAGCGGGAGCUCGAGGCAUUCUCCCCGAGGAUAGGCUGGGUUCUGGGAGCGGGGUAGAAAGGGGACCGUUAUUGUGGAAUCUAUAUAAAGUCCCUGCGGGGACCAGGGUCAGGGCAGCAGUGUGAACCUUAACCCAGAGUCUGGGCCCCGUCUGGGCCUAGAGAGAUGCCUUUGACUCCACAGCCGACCUUCCACAGGGAAGUUUGUUCUUUUAGGUGCCGUUGGGUUUACUCUGAGGACGGGAGCCUUUCUCCCUCGUCUUCACUGCGGAAACCCCUGGGCAUCCUGCGAGACCCACCGAGGAGCGCUGCCUGCGCGUGACCUUCCCCGUUCUAGGUGCGGACCACCGCAGCCCGGCUCGGGGCGCUGCGGGAAAGCGAUCGGGGCAGGGGCUAGAAACCCGUGGCCCCUUCGUCUCAGUCUCCGUCUGCGGCUCCGCCUUCUUCUGUGGCGUCUCGCUGGAAAGGAGACUCCCCUGUUUCUCGCUCUUGUCUCUAGGCUCCCAAAGAAGCUCCCCAUAUGGCCAGGCCUAGGGCAGGGGCCGACCUCCGGACCAGUCACCGCGGCUACCAGGCGGCAUCCUAUGGUAACCAUGGUGACCCCACCGCCAGUGGGGGCAGGGUCAUUCGCAGGGGAGAUGGAGAGCUUUCCAAAGGGUAGGGAGGGACAGCAACACGAGCGGCCCGGCCUGCACCCCACACCCAGGAAGACCUCACUUGCCUCCUCCCCUCUGAUUCACGCUCCCAGUGGGAAGGCAGCGUUCAGCACACGCUUCUGCCAUUAGGUUCAUCUCCCUUGGAGACCGGGAGCUCCUUCAGGCCGUGCCGGCCUCGUCCGCCUUUCCCCAGUCCUGUGUCGGGGCCGGUGCACGCCAGUUGGUGAGGAUCAACCUCACAGAUCAACAACAGCCCUAAACCUUGGCUCUUUCUGUUUGAGAAACCACAAAGGAAAGGAGAACUGGAUUUGGCUACAUUUAAAAAAAAAAAAAGAAGGCACCCUU